AAAUAAUUGGUAGCAUUAUGUGGUGUCAAGGAAAAAUAUUUCAUGAAACUCAUACAAAAACAAUCAAGAAUAUAUUGAAUAUCGUCACACGUUGUAUAUUCUUUAAUUAAAACUAUUUUAACAAAAGAACCAGUCUCAUUGAAGUAGGAAUAUAUUCUCAUCUAGAAGGCUAAUGAUCUUCUCAAUUUGUCCGGCGCGUGCCGCACGCAGGAACGCCGUGCUGGCAUCCGCCUGUUAACGUAAAAGUUGGCGGAGAAAGAAAUGGAUUUCGUGAAAGAAGACAUACCCAAGAAAUGUUAAUUGAUUCAAUAGGGAUGCUGAGGGACAUCUGUGUGAUAAAACGCUUCUAUAAGUAACCGACGUACCCACAACAGGUCCAAAACUAGAAAAUUCUGUCAUCGGAAGA